rnacentral:rRNA from 1 species
AGGACUAACGCUGGCGGCGUGCCUAACACAUGCAAGUCGAGCGGGGUAGCAAUACCCAGCGGCAGACGGGUGAGUAACGCGUGGUCAACCUUCCGUUGAAUGGGGGAUAACUAGCCGAAAGGUUAGCUAAUACCGCAUACGAUCUUUUGAAGGCAUCUUUAAAAGAUGAAAGGAGCAAUUCGUUCAACGACGGGACCGCGUCCCAUUAGCUAGAUGGUGGGGUAAUGGCCUACCAUGGCAACGAUGGGUAGCUGGUUUGAGAGAGCGACCAGCCACACUGGGACUGAGAAACGGCCCAGACUCCUACGGGAGGCAGCAGUGAGGAAUUUUCCGCAAUGGGCGAAAGCCUGACGGAGCGACGCCGCGUGUGGGAAGAAGGCCUUCGGGUCGUAAACCACGUGUCGAAGGGGACGAUAAUAACGGUACCCUUGGAGGAAGCCCCGGCUAACUACGCGCCAGCAGCCGC